AAUCAACGCUGGCGGCGUGCCUCAGACAUGCAAGUCGAACGAUUAAAGCUCUCUUCGGAGAGUGUAUAGAGUGGCGCACGGGUGAGUAACACGUAAGUAAUCUACCUUUGAGUGGGGAAUAACAAUCGGAAACGAUUGCUAAUACCGCAUAAUGCAGCGGCAUCGCAAGAUGACAGUUGUUAAAGGAGCAAUCCGCUUAAAGAGGAGCUUGCGGCAGAUUAGCUUGUUGGUAAGGUAACGGCUUACCAAGGCUACGAUCUGUAUCCGGUCUAAGAGGACGGUUGGACACACUGACACUGAAUAACGGGUCAGACUCCUACGGGAGGCAGCAGUCGGGAAUUUUGGGCAAUGGGGAACCCUGACCCAGCAACGCCGCGUGAAGGAUGAAGUAUUUCGGUAUGUAAACUUCGAAAGAAUAGGAAGAAUAAA
rnacentral:rRNA from 1 species